rnacentral:rRNA from 1 species
ACGGGGCGCAGCAGGCGCGAAACCUCCACAAUGUGAGAAAUCGCGAUGGGGGGAUCCCGAGUGCCAUUCUUAACGGGAUGGCUUCUCUUAAGUGUAAAGAGCUUUUGGAAUAAGAGCUGGGCAAGACCGGUGCCAGCCGCCGCGGUAACACCGGCAGCUCUAGUGGUAGCUGUUUUUAUUGGGCCUAAAGCGUUCGUAGCCGGUUUAAUAAGUCUCUGGUGAAAUCUUACAGCUUAACUGUGGGGAUUGCUGGAGAUACUAUUAGGCUUGAGAUCGGGAGAGGUUAGAGGUACUCCUGGGGUAGGGGUGAAAUCCUGUAAUCCUAGGAGGACCACCUGUGGCGAAGGCGUCUAACUAGAACGAAUCUGACGGUGAGGAACGAAAGCUAGGGGCGCGGACCGGAUUAGAUACCCGGGUAGUCCUAGCCGUAAACUAUGCGGACUUGGUGUGAGGGUGGCUUUGAGCCGUCCUGGUGCCGAAGGGAAGCUGUUAAGUCCGCCGCCUGGGAAGUACGGUCGCAGGACUGAAACUUAAAGGAAUUGGCGGGGGAGCACA